CGAGUUCAAAGCCUCAAACUCACUGCCAAAACCCGAAACCCUUCUCCUCGUCGUUGCACGAAAGUCGAGCUCAUGACGUCGUUGUCGCAAAGGCUUGCCAGUCGUCGUCUCUUUGAGCUCUCUCUCUCUAUCAAAUGCUUUACAUCUAUAGCACAUGAGAUUGAAGAUGGAAUGCUUGGUAACAG